UACAGAGGGUGCAAGCGUUAAUCGGAAUUACUGGGCGUAAAGCGCGCGUAGGUGGUUUGUUAAGUUGGAUGUGAAAUCCCCCGGGCGUCAACCUGGGAGGCGGCAUUCGAUACUGGCAAACUAGGAGUACGAGAGAGGGGGUGGGAAUUCCACGGUGUAGCGGUGAAAUGCGUAGAUAUCUGGAGGAACACCGGUGGCGAA
rnacentral:rRNA from 1 species